UACAUAGGGUGCGAGCGUUGUCCGGAAUUAUUGGGCGUAAAGAGCUCGUAGGCGGUCUGUCGCGUCGGUCGUGAAAACUUGGGGCUUAACCCUGAGCUUGCGGUCGAUACGGGCAUGACUGGAGUUCGGCAGGGGAGACUGGAAUUCCUGGUGUAGCGGUGAAAUGCGCAGAUAUCAGGAGGAACACCGGUGGCGAAGGCGGGUCUCUGGGCCGAUACUGACGCUGAGGAGCGAAAGCGUGGGGAGCGAACAGG
rnacentral:rRNA from 1 species